rnacentral:lncRNA from 1 species
GAACAGAGUGAAUGGAGUAAACAAGAGUUAUGGAGAAACGAGUGAUGGAGAACAGAGUGAUGAGGACACACAGAAGAGAAAGAAAGAAAAAAGAGAGAGAGGUGGAGGACAUGGUGAUAAUAUUGGAAGAGGAGGUGGGGGUGGUCUGUGUGGAUAAAUGUUUUGAAGAGGGAGGUGGGGGUGUCUGUGUGAAUAAUGUGUUGAAAGGGAGGUGGGGGUGUCUGUGUGAUAAGGUUUUGAAGAGGGAGGUGGGGGUGCCUCUGUGUGAUAAUGUUUUGAAGAGGGAGGUGGGGGUGCCUCUGUGUGAUAAUUGUUUGAAGAGGGAGGUGGGGUGUCUGUUGAUAAUGUUUUGGAAGAGGGAAGGUGGGGGUGGCAUCUGUGG